rnacentral:tRNA from 1 species
GCCGGGGUGGCGGAAUGGCAGACGCGGCGGUCUCAAAAACCGUUGAGGUUCACUCCUCGUGUGGGUUCGACUCCCUCCCUCGGCACCA